AAAAAAACUUUUCUUUUAUUGUUAAAUUUACUUACAAUGAUACAGCAUGCCAAGUAAUAGACGACAACUUAUGUAAAAAUAUAUUUUUUUUGAAAAAUAGAUAGCAAGCUACCUGCUUCAUUCAUUAAGUAAAAUGAACUAGACAUACAGGUUGGAAGCAUCAAGGCCUCCGAGGAUCCGGCAAAAAGUAAAAUUUAAAAUAGGAGCGAAAUAACAGGGAAAAGAGAAAGGAAGUCAAGGACACAACAGAAGGCAAGACAGAGGGGGUACAAGAGGGACUUCAGAGUAAUGUGGUCCAAUUGCUGACGAGUAGUUUGAGACGUUCUAGAGACCCGGAAACAUUGGGCGACUUUCCAUUGAAGACGGAGUUGUUUCUAUCCGUCCAGAUUACCCACCAAGUCGCAGCCAGAAUGAUCAAGCGUUGUUUUCUCAAAGAUUCGACGGGGAUUUCCGUACUUUCGGUCCAGAGGCCUCUAGCAUCUGCUGUGCUGGCAUUGUUUGCGUCCACUCCUCCCAUACUGAGAAGAAGGUACCGAACGUAAACACAGUCGUUGAAAAGGUGGUUGCAGCUUUCUGUGAGGAUUGCGCAGAAAGUACAAUUCUGGUCUACGUUCAUGCCUCGGAUGAGCAAUCUGUCGGCAGUGGGUAGUCUCUUUCGGAUGAGCAGCCAAAUGAAGACUUUGAUUUUAACGGGAAUUUUUAGCUUCCAGAUGUGCUGAUUCGUCGGGACACGAAGUCCGGCGUCCGUGAUAAACUGGUAAAGGGAUUUAACAGUGAA
rnacentral:lncRNA from 1 species